rnacentral:lncRNA from 1 species
GGUUUCUGAUUACAGGGAGGAGACAUAAACACACAUAUAAGGGGGCGGAGCUCUGCUCAGGUGUUGCUGAAUCAGGAAAUGAGGAAGUUGAGAGUUUUCCUCCAUGUCAGAGCAGACAGAGCAGGACGAGACGGUGGCUCCAACUUUCUUCUUCAUGGUGUGUGUGAGCUGAUGUGGAUCCAGUGAAUCCAGCAGCAUGGAUCAGUGGGAGGACACACAGGAGGGAGCCCC